rnacentral:rRNA from 1 species
CGGGGGGGGCAAGCGUUGUUCAGAAUUACUGGGCGUAAAGGGCUCGUAGGCGGCCAACUAAGUCAGACGUGAAAUCCCUCGGCUUAACCGGGGAACUGCGUCUGAUACUGGAUGGCUUGAGUUUGGGAGAGGGAUGCGGAAUUCCAGGUGUAGCGGUGAAAUGCGUAGAUAUCUGGAGGAACACCGGUGGCGAAGGCGGCAUCCUGGACCAACACUGACGCUGAGGAGCGAAAGCCAGGGGAGCAAACGGGAUUAGAUACCCCGGUAGUCCUGGCCCUAAACGAUGAAUGCUUGGUGUGACGGGUAUCGAUCCCUGUCGUGCCGAAGCUAACGCAUUAAGCAUUCCGCCUGGGGAGUACGGUCGCAAGGCUG